rnacentral:sRNA from 1 species
AGUAUUAAUUGUUAAGCAAAUCCACUAGAAAUUGCACAACUGAGAAUCAUAUUUACCGUAGAUUCUUUCGCCGAAAAGUUUCUUCACCGAAUCUGGUGAUUUUUUUGUCGGAUCUUCAAAUUCAAAGUCGCCGAAAAAGUUUCUUCACCAUAUCUGGCGAUUUAUUCGUCGGAUCUUCAAAUACGAAAUCGUAGUAAGAGAAUAAGGUCGGAGAAGAAGAACUGUUUGUCAAAGAGAAGACAAGUGAAUUGAAAACCCUAAUUUUUCAUUAAGGGUAACAUAGUCAUUUUAUGCAAAAUAAGAGGCAGUUUUAAAAAUGGCCAUGAGAAAAGUCAUUUUUGCAAAAGGGCACUAAAAAUACACUUAUUUUGCAUCGAUUGAGUAUUACUUGUCUGUUUUUAAAAAUUUGAAUUACAUCAGAUGUAGAAAAAAUCGAAUAUUUUAUUAACUAUUUGUAUUUUAUAUAUAAAGUCAAAAUAAAUUAUAUAUAAGAACAAAUAUAGUGAUAGAAAAAUUAUAUAUAUAUUUUUAAUGUUGAUAUAGAGAUUUUAGGAAAUUAGCAUUAAUAAAAUAUAAUUCAAUAAAAUAAGAUUUAAUUAAGGAUAAAAAGUUAGGAAAGAGUUAAUUCAAGUAUUUAAGGCAAAUUAACAAUU